rnacentral:rRNA from 1 species
GACGAACGCUGGCGGCGUGCUUAACACAUGCAAGUCGAACGGAAAGGCUCUACGUUGGUGGUGUGCUCGGGUGGCGAACGGAUGAGUAACACAUGCGUAACCUGCCCUUGACUUUAGGAUAAGCAUGGGAAACUAGGACUAAUACUGGAUAUGAUCUCGCCCGUUAUGGGGUGAGAUGGAAAGUUUGGCGGUGGGGGAUGGGCCCGCGGUCUAUCAGCUUGUUGGUGGGGUAGUGGCCUACCAAGGCGACGACGGGUAGCCGGCCUGAGAGGGUGACCGGCCACAUUGGGACUGAGAUACGGCCCAGACUCCUACGGGAGGCAGCAGUGGGGAAUAUUGCACAAUGGGCGGAAGCCUGACGCAGCGACGCCGCGUGGGGGAUGACGGCCUUCGGGUUGUAAACCUCUUUCAGCAGGGACGAAGCGUAAGUGACGGUACCUGCAGAAGAAGCACCGGCUAACUACGUG